AACACUUAGUAAAAGUACUUUAUUUUCUUCUUGUAUUUGCUUUAUAUCUCACUUACAAAGUUAUGAAGUUUACAGCUUUUAUACCAAAAUGUAAGAAGGCUGUUUAGAAAUAUCUUUGCAGUCAAAUGUCAUCUGACAUUUCUUCUAAUCCACAUUUAACAUUGAAAAACCAAGGUUCUCAAUGAUAGGACAUGGAUGAAACCACCACAAGUAUGGCAAGUAGUCUUUAGAAUAAUUCUAGAACUCUCCUUGAAGCAACAGGAACAAAUUUGCUAAGUAAGCAUUUGCGAAUUUAAGCAAACCUACUUCCUGUUCAAACCCCACUUUACAAUGAAUUUCAAAAUCCUCCUCAAUGAAUUAUCUUCCAUAAAAUUAUCUCCCAUAUCAUUCUUUAAGUGUGCACCUACACUCAGCAACUCAGCCACAUGCCCAUGUCCCCAAGUUGUGCCAUGAUAAUCUAACAGAAAAACAAAAAAACCCAACAACAAAA
rnacentral:lncRNA from 1 species